GUUGUGUUUCUUUCCUUUUUUAACAUCUCCAUUUUAAAAUGUAACUGUCUUAGAGGCUUGCUCACUACUGCGGCAGCUCUCUGGAGGGAAGGUGGGUGUCUGGGAACCCAGGCUUGAUGGACUUUGCCCAGCUAGGAAUGACAGUUGGUCGGGAAUUGGGGUCAAGUGGUGUAGGACGUAGGGUGAUUUUUUUAGGUUUUAAGAUAUUUUGAAAAAUUAUGGUACAUUGUCUUUUCAACGAAGAAAAUAAUAUUAAACGUGUGGCUUCCUUAAGUUUUUGUUUCAGUUUGGGCUUAGAAUCUCCUUAGCUCUAUUCUUGCCUCUUCUUUUUGUCUUUGGUGGCUUCCUAGAAGGUUCUAGAAAAUCUACUGGACUAGAAAUAAGAAGGUCCCAGCCCCAGGUCCCAGCCCCUCCCUCCAUUGCUCAGAUAAGGAGGGUGUUGCAAAGGUCUUAUCCAGGGGCCGAGGAAACCCACCUGCUUGGAAAGAUGGUGCCCCAGAGCAUCUGAGCUGGAAGGAGGAACUUCAGAGCUCCAACUAUCUCCUUUUGCAAAUCAGGGGCCAGAGAAGGAAGGCCACAGCCAGGAAGCUGGGAAGUGGGUACUGGCUGCCCCAGAGCUCAGGUCCAAGUGUAUUUUCAUAGCCCCUGGCUGGUCUGCUGAGGCCUGAGGCUUAGUUGGUCCACUGUGUCUCCCCUAUGUGCCAGCCUGGGGCUCUGCACCCAUGGACUCUACCCUGCCCACCUUCUGUCUAUUCUCCACACCACAGACACGGUCAUCCUGAAGCCCAGGGGGCCCUCUGCUUCCUGCUCAAGGCUCUGCUCCAGCACAGGGGUCUCUGUCCACUCCAGCCACAUGGGCCUGCUUCUCCCCAAGUGCACCUCUGGGAUUUUGCCUUUGCUGGUGCCACGAUCUUUGCCUGGUCCAGCUUUCCCAGUGGCUGGGGUUUCUCAACUGUUACCUCCUCAGAGAGGAACCUCGUGACUCUAAAGUAGGUAAAUCUCCUGUCUCGAUCCCCUUUCCUGGUCUGAUUUUUUUCCCACGGCACCCAUGACUACCUGACAUCCUAUUUCUAUUUGUCCAUCUAGUGUCGGGGUCCCCAGGUCUGUGAGAGCAGGCACUGCCUGUUCUGUUCCCUGUUGUCACCACGCUCAUGGGUGGAGUGGAGUCACAAUAUACUAUGUGCUGACCCACUGGGCUCCCUGACACUUCUUUCCAGCAGUAGUGAAGCAGCUGCCCCGAACUUGACGCCCACAGACCCUUUCUCCUGGAGUGAGGCGUUCCUUCCCAGUACCCUGGAUCCCAGGAGGCAGGAGAGCGCACCCUCCUGGCCAUUGGGAGAUUCUGCCCUGCUGGCUUCAUUCUGACGACUCUCUGCAGAUCCCCAGCCCAGGCCUCUCCUCUGAGCUCCACACUCAACUGUCUGCUCAACUCUGUGUCCAAGCAGGAAGCCCUGCUCACAGUGAAUCCAGAAUCCCGCAGCUUCCCUGCACCUCCGUGACCGGAGAGCACUCGGAGGCACCCCUGCCCUCGCCUUCCCCAUCAGAGUCCCUGCUUCCACCUUGGUUCCUUACAGACAGGCUCUGCAGAGCACGGGGCUCAAGCCCUUGAAGCACAGAUCAGUCCAGAAUAGGUACAGCUGUGGGGACAGAUUGGAGGUUGCCUAGGGCUGGGGUGUUGGGAGGGAAUGGGGAGCGGAUGCCAACAGUAGAGGUUUCUCUUUGGGUUGUCUUAAAACUGAUCGUGGCGAUCAAUGCACAAUUUUAUAAAUACACUGAAACCCACUGAAUUGUUAAAAAAAAUGCAAACCUACUUAACAUUAAAGCAAAUAGUGUUUUAAUUGUGUCCCUCCUUUGCUCUGAACUCUGAGUGGCUCCUAUGUCACU